CCCUACGGGGUGCAGCAGUGGGGAAUAUUGCACAAUGGGCGCAAGCCUGAUGCAGCCAUGCCGCGUGUAUGAAGAAGGCCUUCGGGUUGUAAAGUACUUUCAGCGGGGAGGAAGGUGUUGUGGUUAAUAACCGCAGCAAUUGACGUUACCCGCAGAAGAAGCCCCGGCUAACUUCGUGCCAGCAGCCGCGGUAAUACGGAGGGUGCAAGCGUUAAUCGGAAUUACUGGGCGUAAAGCGCACGCAGGCGGUUUGUUAAGUCAGAUGUGAAAUCCCCGCGCUUAACGUGGGAACUGCAUUUGAAACUGGCAAGCUAGAGUCUUGUAGAGGGGGGUAGAAUUCCAGGUGUAGCGGUGAAAUGCGUAGAGAUCUGGAGGAAUACCGGUGGCGAAGGCGGCCCCCUGGACAAAGACUGACGCUCAGGUGCGAAAGCGUGGGGAGCAAACAGGAUUAGAUACCCGAGUAGUC
rnacentral:rRNA from 1 species